rnacentral:lncRNA from 1 species
UUUACAUUUCAUUUCUGAGGCCUCUCAGCUUCUCAGGAGAGAAAAGAAAACCGAACAAAAGGCUUUCUCAUAAAAUAUAUAUAUAUACAUUAUAUUUUCCGUAAAACAUAUAUAAAUUAUAUUUUCCAUAAAAUAUAUUAAAAAAUCAGUUUUCUUGCUCCUGCUGCCUGCUGUUCUCUCACCACUGGGAUUUUUUUGCAGAUUCAGGUUUCUUACUACCCCCCUGGGCAGUACCCCAACUCCAGCCAGCAAUACCGACCCCUCAGUCACCCAGUGGCCUACAGCUCCCAGCGCCCCCAGCAGCUCCCCCAGCAGUCCCAGCAGCCAGGUUUACAGCCCCUGAUGUCCAACCAGCAGCAGAGCUACCAGGGCGUGCUGGGGGUGCAGCAGGCUCAGCCCCCCGGGCUCCUCAGCAGCCAGAGGAACAAUCUGGGGGGCCAGAUGCAGAACGUGCUGGGGGUGCAGCAGGCACAGCCCCCCGGGCUGCUCGGCGCCCAGAGGAGCAGCAUGGGCAGCCAGAUGCAAGGGCUGAUGGUGCAGUACACAGCCCUGCCCUCGUACCAGGUGGGCACUGCGGGGCUGGGCAGGGGGCUCAAGGUGGGCAGGAUGUGCCCCAAGGAUCCCCCAAAGGUGGGGAUUUGCUCACAGGGCUGAGGAGGGGGCUCUGGCUGGGCUGGAUGUGCCCAAGGGAUGCCCAGAGCUGGGGAUUUGCUCACAGGGAUGGGGAGGGCACAUCCAUGAGGGGAUCUGUGGGGCACAUCUGGAGCUGGAGAUCUGGGGAGGGGGUCCUGGCCUGGCAGGAUGUGCCCAAGGGGUGCCCCAGAGCUGGGGAUUUGCUCACAGGGAUGAGGAGGGCACAUCCAUGUGUGGCACAUCUGGAGCAGGAGGGCUGGGAGGUUGCUCUGGGAUGUCAGAAAAACCCACCUGGAGUUUUUCACCCUGCUGGGCACCUGCUCCUCCCCAGCCUGGGGUGCUGGGGAGGGGGCUCUGGUUGGCCAGGAUGUGCCCAAGGGAUCCCCUAAAGUUGGGGGUUUCCUCAUAGGGAU